UUAAUUAUAUUUAGUUAUAAUUUUUCAGACAUGAUUUAAUAAAGAAUUUUGAAUAGGCUAUCGGCAAGCACUGGCCAGAGGUGACUGAACGCCCCCGGCGGUCGUCGAUCCCGGUUAAAGGAUGUUCGGACGGGCCUGCCAAAGCAACAAAGUGUUUUAUACAAAGGGUUGGAGGUUCGGGCUCGAGAUGAGACCCUAACUCAGUAAUGAUCCUUCCGCAGGUUCACCUACGGAAA
rnacentral:misc_RNA from 1 species